GACGAACGCUGGCGGCGUGCUUAACACAUGCAAGUCGAACGGAAAGGCCCUGCUUUUGUGGGGUGCUCGAGUGGCGAACGGGUGAGUAACACGUGUGUAACCUGCCCUUGACUUUGGGAUAACUUCAGGAAACUGGGGAGAUUAUCGGAUAGAAUCUCUUGCUGCAUGGUGGUGAUUGGUAAGAUUCGGCUGUUGGGGCUGGACUCGCGGCUUAUCAGCUUGUUGGGGGGGUAGGGGCUUACCAAGGCUUUGACGGGUAGCCUGCCUGAGAGGGUGACCGGACACAUUGGGACGGAGAUACAGCCCAGACUCCUACGGGAGGCAGCAGUGGGGAAUAUUGCACAAUGGGCGGAAGCCUGAUGCAGCAACGCCGCGUGCGGGAUGACGGCCUUCGGGUUGUAAACCGCUUUCGCCUGUGACGAAGCGUGAGUGACGGUAAUGGGUAAAGAAGCACCGGCUAACUACGUG
rnacentral:rRNA from 1 species